AAGUCGUAACAAGGUUUCCGUAGGUGAACCUGCGGAAGGAUCAUUACAGAGAGGAGCUCCACGCUCCAGGGGGUUCGCCCCCGCCUCUCAACCCUGUGUAAAUCAUACCUUUGUUGCUUUGGCGGGCCUUGAGGUCAUGCUCAUGCCGGGCCUGCGCCCGGCGAGUGCCCGCCGGAAGCCCAUCAAAAUUCGUUUAAACCAUGCUGUCAGAGUCUAUAAACAAAUAAAGCAAAACUUUCAACAACGGAUCUCUUGGUUCUG
rnacentral:misc_RNA from 1 species